GCGGGAUUCGUAUAAUGGUAAUACAUAAGCUUCCCAAGCUUGUAACACGGGUUCGAUUCCCGUAUCCCGCU
rnacentral:tRNA from 1 species